rnacentral:tRNA from 1 species
GGGAACGUAGCUCAGUGGUAGAGUGCUUGCCUUGCAUGCAUGAGGCCUUGGGUUCCAUUCCUUUUCCUU